GACGAACGCUGGCGGCGUGCUUAACACAUGCAAGUCGAACGGUAAGGCCCUUCGGGGUACACGAGUGGCGAACGGGUGAGUAACACGUGGGUGAUCUGCCCUGCACUUUGGGAUAAGCCUGGGAAACUGGGUCUAAUACCGAAUAUGACCAUGGACUUCACGGUUUGUGGUGGAAAGCUUUUGCGGUGUGGGAUGGGCCCGCGGCCUAUCAGCUUGUUGGUGGGGUAAUGGCCUACCAAGGCGACGACGGGUAGCCGGCCUGAGAGGGUGUCCGGCCACACUGGGACUGAGAUACGGCCCAGACUCCUACGGGAGGCUG
rnacentral:rRNA from 1 species